AGAUUGAACGCUGGCGGCAUGCCUUACACAUGCAAGUCGAACGGCAGCACGGGAGCAAUCCUGGUGGCGAGUGGCGAACGGGUGAGUAAUACAUCGGAACGUGCCCAAUCGUGGGGGAUAACGCAGCGAAAGCUGUGCUAAUACCGCAUAAGAUCUACGGAUGAAAGCAGGGGAUCGCAAGACCUUGCGCGAAUGGAGCGGCCGAUGGCAGAUUAGGUAGUUGGUGGGGUAAAGGCUCACCAAGGCCUUCGAUCCUGUAGCGUGGUCUAGAGAGACGACCAGCCACACGUGGGACUGAGACACGGCCACGACUCCGUACGGAGGCAGCAGGUGGGUAAUUUGGACUAAGUGGGACGUAAAGGCCUGAAUCCC
rnacentral:rRNA from 1 species